rnacentral:lncRNA from 1 species
UAGUCCUCAUUUCUGUCAAUAACCCUGUGGAUAUUGCUGGAUCUCCAUCAAAUCUGAGGGGUUUUGCUUAACAAUGCUUUACUCUGCUCCACUGGUUAGAUACAAUACUGUCUGCUUCUAACAAAUUGCCACCAUUUAUCAGCAAUUAACGCCGGCCUAAAAUGGAAGGGAAAGAAACCUCCAAGGAUCAGAGAGGAGAAUUUCACUUUCUGACCUUCCAAUCUGUGCUUAAAAGGCUGUCAAAGCAAUGACUUCUUGACAUCUUGGAAUCUGGAGAAUGUAUAGCAUAGCUCCAAUGCAGGGAUUAAAAGAAUGAAGAAGUUGUCGCUACAACUACUUCUGCCCUUGG